GACAGAGGGUGCAAACGUUGUUCGGAAUUACUGGGCGUAAAGCGAGUGUAGGCGGUCUUCUAAGUCGGAUGUGAAAGCCCCGGGCUCAACCCGGGAAGUGCACUCGAAACUGGAAGGCUAGAGUAUCGGAGAGGUUGGUGGAAUUCUCGGUGUAGAGGUGAAAUUCGUAGAUAUCGAGAGGAACACCGGUGGCGAAGGCAGCUCGCUGGGACGGUACUGACGCUGAGGCGCGAAAGCGUGGGGAGCGAACAGG
rnacentral:rRNA from 1 species